CUCCCUGCUUCCUUUUGAGGUCCUGCCGCUGGACCCCUCAGCUCUGCUGUGGCCUAUGGCUUUUCAUUCCUAUGUGAUUGCUCCUCCAAACUCAUGUAGGGCUAAAAGCCAUGGGCUACAGUGAGGGGCGCACUCCUGCUGCAGCCACAGAGGGGGCACCGGGGGAUGGUUCGCUCUGGGGUGGGGACUGGAGGGGAUCUAGGAACCCAGGGGCCGGGGUGGGCUGUGUGAUCUUGGCCAAGUCACUUCCCCUCUCUGAACCUGGCUCCUCACCCUGGGAUGAAGAGGCUGGUCCGAUGCUUCCAAAGGGCGAGUCCCCCCAGGAAGGAAGGAGACACUCAGGGUGUGUGCUGAGGUCUCUGGCCAACCCCGAGGCCCCGGCUGCGGCUCGGAGAUUUGGGAGCUGGAGUCACAGGCACUGGGUCACAAAGACGGGCCUCUCCUCGAUGCGCCUUCUUCCAGCGCAGCCUCUGCUUCUUGGCCUCGCUCCCUUCGCCUCUGAGUUCAGCCCGGAACCCUCGGCCUUCUUCUGUGCAGGGAGGCCUGGAGUGCCUCGGUGGCUGCCCUGGGCACAUUCAGUCCCGCCAGGAGGGGCAGGAGGUUCCACAGAGUGGAAGCGGGCUGCCAGCUGCUCCCCACAGCAGCAGGUGUAAGCUCCGGGUCUCUAGCUCUUGGGCUGCCACCCUCCAGGUGUGUGAGCGGUACCUGCCCCCCACCCCCACCCCAGCUGCCUGUCACUCAGCUCGUCUGGCUGCCCCCUGAUGCCUGUUGCCGCACACACACGCACACACGCAGUCCCACCCUGGUUGAAUCUGCCUUGACUCUGUGCCACCAUCCUGGGAGACUCCAACAGAUGGAAAUAAGGCAAGCAGUCUGGCUGGAGUGGCAGAGGACUCACCGCCACCCCAUUCUCCCUCGUCCUGGGCCAGCCCGUGGCAGCCUCAGCGGGGUACUGGGUAGGGAAUGAGAGGACAAGUUACUGAGAAUGCCUUGCCCCCCCCCCCCCGCCCCCAGAGGCCUUCACCUACUCUGCAGCAGGCGUGAUUCUGAGCAUUUCACCUGUCCUACCGCAUCUAAUCCUCGAGACAACUAUAUCUACUAUUAGCCCAUUUUACUUAGGGGAAGUGCGAGGCACAGAGGAGCUAAGAAGCUGCGCUAAGCUCCCAUGGCUGAUAAAGGGCAGAGCUGGGUGCAGAACCCAUGCUUGCCCCGUCGGGGUAUGUUGGGAGGGCCAGCACCAGUCGGCGGGAAGGUGGGCUGUGCCGUGCUCGCGCGAGGGGGCUCUUCUCACAUGGCCUCCACUGGGUGCGUGCCCACACGUGGGCCCAACUCCAGUCACCCUUUGUCCAUUCUGGGUUUUCUUUUCCAGCAGGAGGUGAGUGGAAGGAGAAGCAAAGAGAAGCCCACGCCAGCUGGGCUCUUGCUGGCCUGAUCCAGGUCUCUUCCCCUCCUGCCCCAGCUUAGAUGGUGGAAGGGCUGGGGAAGAGGAGUGCCAGGGCUUCUUGCUUGCCCUCUGCGUUCUCUGGCCCAGAGAUCAGAGAUGGCUGGCACCUGCUCCCCCUCCCUCAGCGCCCCAGGCUCACCGUGAGCCCGUUCUGUUCCCUCUUCUAUCCCGAGAACCUCUAGGCACUUGAUCUGCUUCCCUUAGCUUCCCACCUCCGAACUGGAAAAUCAGGUUGCAGCGAGGGGCCCCCGGAAAGUGGAUCCCUCCCAGGAACCCUGUGCAGUUUGCCCACGAUGGCCUCAGCCCUGGGCUGGGCCUGGCAGGACAGGGACAGCGGAACCAUUCCCUAACCCUCCAGGCAAGCAAGGCAGUGAGUGGGGACUGCUGAGCAAAUGUUUGUGGAGUGAACGGCGUUGGGCUAACAGGUAAGUCACAAGCAGGGACAUGAGCAAGCCCUGGGCUCAGCACCUCAGCCCACAGUCCCACCUUUGCCGGGGGGUGGGGUGUUGGGUAUGCGCCAUGUCUGGGGUUACAAAGUUGGAGUGCUUUUCCACUGUGUCUCUUGGCCACUGCCAGUGGGGGCAGGCCUGGAGAAGAUACACAAUUCUAUAUUGCACACUAAUUGUUGAACUGCAUUGCACUGGCAAGCUGGCCCCAUGCGCUCCUGGAACUCCCUGAGGAUUCACAGAUCACAGGGCUAUGUCUCUGCCAUCCCCUGCCUGCAGCCGGCUGAAACCUGAAAUGCUCUAGCAAUGGGAGUCCUUUGUGGUCUUCACAUAGGCGCAGCCUGAGGCCUCCCCUGGGAGUGCAGCUGGGAUUUGGGUGAAUCUCAUUGGGUUUGCCCACUUUGAGAGGAAAUGCAAUUUGAUGGCUAAGCUUACAAGGAAAAACCUCUCUGUCCCUGUCUUCAGGGAGGGAUGGCCCCAAGCUUUGACAGCUGGGGUCCCUUCUGGCAUUGAUGGCCUCGGCCGCCAGGGGCCUGGCUGCUGCUGCUGCCCUUAUCACACUCGCCAUGACCCUGAGGGUGGGCAUAAGCCCCUUUGGAGACUACUGACACUUUGACCCUCUAGCUGCACGGUCCCCCGAGCAUCCCAGAACCACUGGUAAUGGCGGGGCUGCCCUUGGAGACUUCAAGGCUACGGGGAGCUUUGUCUUUCCCCAUAGGCAGGCCAGCAAGGAGCUAGGCGGUGGGUGGCCUUGGUGAGCCAGGGUCUGGGUGGCCUCUGACCGCCACAGAGGGCUCAGAUCCCAGGAUCUCAGCAAGCCCGAGGCAGGUCCAGGAAGGAGUUAACCUCCGAGGAGAACGCGGGCUUGUCCCCAGCCUGAGGCCGGUGCCCAGCUUAGCUGCUGCCAACUCGGGGGAGAAGCCCUGGGAUCUGUAGUCUGUGCCACCACCCAGCCCUGGCCGGCCUGUUUAUCAGCACCGGCUGGUAGACUACAGUUCCCAGCAAGCUACAGAGGCUCCUCUUUGGGGGAAGGGGUGGGUGUGAGGCUCGGUGGCGGCGGGAGAGCGGGAGCGGGAGGAGGUGGGGAGAGCAGCCCAAUUCACCCCCUUCCUUUUUAAUUCUUUCUCCUGGUGUGUCUGCUCCACCGCCCGAGCUAAUCCCCCAAAUCCGGUCUCCUAAGCCGCAGCUGCUUCCCCGCGCCGUGAUGAAUGGCUCGGGGAGGGAAGGUGUCCUGGCUUGCCCUGCUGCCCACCACGAUGGAGGACACGGCCCAGACCCCUGUCUCCAAGGAGGCACCACGGUCUGUGAGCCCGGAGCCCCGCUUCCUCCCCUCCUCCCUAUCACAGAAGUCCCCGUGCCAUCUCUGACCCACUGCCCCAUUUUUGCCCCAGGCAUUAGGGUGGGAGGACCCCUGGAGAGAGUGCCACGGAGAGAAGUGGGGUGAGGGCCCAGGGAAAGGGGGAGCUGGGGAGCACCGGGUGGUCCAGGAGGGCCAGUGCUCUGGCUUGAUCUCAGCUCCCACCUCCCUGGCCUGGCAGAGGAGCCCUGCAGUCCCCAGACCCCAGACCAUCUUGCACCUAGCUGGGGCCCAGCCAGAGGGGAGGAUGGGGAGGCAGCCAGGGCCAACAGCUUGCGGCGGAUGCGGCCAACUGUGGGACUGCGGGAGGUUUGUCCAGCGUCCACCCCCUCGCCUUCUAUUCUGGGUUCCUGGGGGCAGCUUUGCCAUUGCUUAGCCCCUGCAGGACUGUGGGCCUGAAAUGGGAGGUGGGAGGGUGGGGGAGUGGGAGGGGAGUUCCCAUCUGGAGCGCAGAGAAGUGGGGGUGUCCCCAGGCUCUAGUCCAGACCCUCCCACACAGAUAGACACAGCAGGGGAGGGUCACUGGGGCCUGGCUUCUCCGGGGAGCCUCCAGCUGGUGCUGGACUGAGCUGCCAAGUGUGUGGGGUACAGGCUGGGGAGGCAGUGGUGAGAACUGGCAGAGACCACAGCCCAAGGUACCUGCUGGGGGGGUUGGGGGAGGCAAGGCACUGUAAGCAGGACUGGGGUCUCUCCACUGCAGGGGCCGGCCCGGCCUCCUGUGAGCCCCCCACAGAGCUCAGGCUGGCUGUGCUCUGCACAGGGGUGACCCUCUCAGGUCCUGCCUUGGGAACUGGGACCCAGGAACCCCACUGAGGUUGUCCCUGCCCCCAGGACUCACCUGGGAGAGAGAUUGCAGCGCCUAGCCCGGCUCCUGCAGGUCCUGGUUCCCCUUAUCCAUACCCCUGCCCUGCCUUCCUUACAGAAGUGGGCCGGUCAGAAAAGUCUGAUUUUCCCCACCUCUCUCAAAGCACCCCAGGGAAGAGGCUUAGAGAAGAGGACCCACGUGCCCUGGGCUCCAGGAACCAGGCUCCCUGAGCUACGCCCAGGCCUGGGUGGUCAGGGCCCCUUGCCCGGUUUGUAUUCCUUGUGAUCCCCUCUCCUAGGCCAGCCUUGUUGUACCUGUGGAUUUCUCCCCUUGGAUUUUUUUUUUUUAUUUAAAUACACUUAUUUAUUAGAAAGGCAGAGUUACAGAGGCAGGGGGUGGGGAUCUUCCAUCCGCUGGUUCACUCCCCAAAUGGCCACAACAGCCAGAGCUGAGCUGUUCAGGAGCUUCUUUUAGGUCUCCCACGUGGGUGCAGGGUCCCAAGCACUUGGGCCAUCUUCUACUGCUUUCCCAGGCCACAGCAGAGAGCUGGAUUGGAAGUGCAGUAGCUGGGACUCCAACCAAUGACCAAAUGGGAUACUGGCACUGCAGGCGGUGGCUUUACCCACUACACCACAGUGCCAGCCGCCCGUGGAUUUUUCAUAGUGGUGCGAACGCUCUGUUGACAGUGCCCCUGACAUGCAGUCCAGCAAGGGACGUGUGUAGUGCAGUCACCGAUUACUGCAGAACCCCCACCGCCACACCCCUACCUUCUACCUGGGCAGGCAGGAGUCCCAGUGCCUUUCCUGCCUCUUAGCUUUGGGGCUCUGCAUGUUAAACCUUGGCUAACCUCCCAGCACACUGAGAUGAGGAAGGCCCAGAGAGAUGGAGCCACUCACCCAGGGUGACACAGCACGCCAGCAUCCCAGCCAGGUAUAGAGCCCAGGCCCCCUGAGCCCCUGUGUAGAGCCCUGUUUCUCUCUAGGCUUGUCAUGGGAGGGCCCCCGAGGUAGCUGUGAUAGGUAGAUCUAGAAAUACAGUAGUAGUAGUCCCGGUGCCAUCUAUAUAUAUCCCGCGAGCGCUCCCGGUUCACUGUGUACACUCCAGCAGAGUGAGCGAGGAGGUGGCGCGGAGAGGGGAUUAUUAAGUAACAGCCUACCUACUGCUGACUCAAGCUGGGCCGCCUGCCCACCCAGCCAGCCGUUGGAGGUGCCUGGCACCUAUUAAUUACAGCGAUUAGAUGUAUUACCCGGACGCCGAGGGGCCGAGGGAGGGAAGAUCGCUCCCGGAACCAGGCUCCGCAGCGCUUGCUGAGUUCUCUGUUUGGCCUGGAGGAACACGAAGCAAGGUUGGCCAGCCUCCUCCACCCUGCAGGUGUGCCCUGUGUGGGGGACCUAGGGUUUUGAGGGGGGGUGCCCCAUGCUUCCUUGUUCCAAACCCCUCCAGGCUGGCCCUGUGCCUCCCUCCUUGCCCUCAGCGUUCAGACUUUGCUUUCCUGCUUCCUCGAGAGAGCUGUGACUCGGCUCAGACCCGACCUCCACGCCAGGUGCUUCCCUCCCCCAGGGCCAGCUGCUCUGCUCCUUCGGACCUGUGCUCCGUGCACAGCAGGCUCAGCAGGAGGAAGGGGGCGAAGUGGAGCAACUGCAGGUGCAUGCGGAUAGGGAACCCUGACACCCCCUCAACGUCUGCAGAGUGGAUGCUCCUGCAGACAGAGCUGUCCUGAAGCCCCACCCACCCCUGAGAGUGAGUGCUCCCUGGGUGGAGGCAGGGCCAGGCCAGCCUGGGCAGGUCCAGCCUCAGCCACUCCCCACUCCCCCAGGCUUACUUUGGUGACAGGAAAGAAACUCUUCACCAUCUUGUACCCACCUCCCAGCCCCUGUGCCCUGCCCAGGUGCUAAAUAAAACAGCCUGUUGGCUCAAGAACUCUGCUGUCUGUUCUCUGCCUGGCGAGCAGGGGGUUCUGUGUUGCUCUGGGCGCUCCGAGCGCAUUCUGCUAAACCCUCGCUGCUAAGGGAGAGAGGAAGCCCUGACUCGGUUCCAGGUGGCAAAGGAGAGGCCGCGCUGGAGGAGUGUUUCUUAGGCAUCAGAGGCCUGCAUCCGGGUCCUUGCAGGUGUGGCCCCCACGCACCUCCACCUGCCCAUGGUGGCACAAGCUUGUUUUCUGCCAGGUGUUUCCAGCCACAGAUGCAUGGUGCUGAGUGAGGCCGAGGGGGCGGCCGCCUGGAGGAAUGACGUCAGCUCAGAUCAGGAAGCGCUGUAGUCCGGUGGCCGGUGUGAGAGGCGGCAGGGCCCCCGCAGCCUCUGGGGGGCGCGUUAACCCCAGCGUGCUUCUCUCUCCCUGCCUUCUCCCACAUCCUUUCCCUGCAGAUCUCCGCUGAGCGUCCCCGGCCUGGCCUAGGGCAUGCCCCAGUUCACCUUCGCCUGCUUCUGUGGCCUCCACGGCUUCUGCAAGAUGAAGAGGAAGAAGGAGGACGUUCACAGAGAGCGGGAAACAGCGGUGUGAGCAAGACCAGGGUCCCCUGGCUGCCCCAGCAAGGCCCAGGCCUGAGGCUGCCCAGUGCUGGCCAGUGCUCUUGCGGGACGGGAAGCCUCAUGGGCAUCUUGGAGCUCCACUGAGCCCUGCUCUUCUCAGUGCAGCCUGGCUCCACCCCGAGGGCCCCGGACUCCUGGGUGCCGCCAAGGCCUCCUUGUGCCCGCAUACAUGGGCGUGCAGUCCUGAGAGCUGCCUGCGAGAGGCCCCGGCGCACAGGGGAACUCCAGGACCUGCCAAUCACCUUCCAGAGAUGCCCCAGGGAGGCCCAAGAGUGGAACUUCCUUCCUGCCCUUCCAGGGAGAGAUGCAUCCCAUUGGGCCAAGACAGCAGUUGCUAACUAAGGAACUGGCUGCCCUAGCAGAGCGCUGGGAGCAGUCCUCAUGAUGGGGCGAGACCUCCACCUCCAAGGCCAGGACGGGGUCUCUCCUGGGACUCCAGGAUACAGAGCAGGAGCAUCGCAUGCCACAGCAGUGUCCCCUGAGUGCUCCCUCCCCCCCUCCCCCCCGCCCAGCAUCCCAGGUGCAGCCAUGCCUGAGGUGGCCGGCCUGGGUGCGAAAGGGCGGUAGGAUGGGGACACUGUGGCAGAGCAGCGGGUGGAUGUGGCCUUGUCUCUUGCCAGCCCUGCUGCCCCACACACCAAAGCAGUCUUUCCUCCAGCCCUGGCCCUGACCCGCUGGCCCCAUGCUAUAUGUGUGUGCCACCUCAGCAGGAGCCUCCCUGGUCCUCUGUCCUUGGGGACACUGGAGGCCUUGGGUGAGCCCAAGAGAAGGGCAGGAAAGCGUGCAGGGGCUCCCCUGAGACAGAGGGUCCUGCGCCCUCCUCUGGGACCCGUGUGUCCCCAGCCAUGGCCCGAGAGGCUGCAGUGCUAGGACUGUCUCUUCAAUAGCGGGGGAUGAAACUGUAUCUGAGACGCUGGGGUGUUGGGUGCCGGUCCCAGGGGCUUCCCAGGCGGGAAGGUCAGGAGCAGGGACAACAUGGGCCCUGCUGGCACCUCAGACCGACCCUGGCAGGAUUGCAGCAGCAGGGCUUGGCCCGGAGCCCUGCAGGGUUUCUUCCCCCAGGAGAAAUCUCCAGGCUCCAGAGGGAUACCUGAUAGCCGGAGUCCCUGCUGUGGGAACCUGGGUGGCGGCCCAAGGUCAAGGCCCAGCUGGGCCGUGCAGAGCUGUCCUUGGCCUCCCAGCUGGCGGCCCUUCGUUAUCCAGGGCUAAAGUUGGGUCCAAGGUUGCAGCUGCUAUGGCCAGACACCACCCCCCCACACACACACACACAUGUUAUGGCUCCCUCAGUUUCCUUCUCAGGGAGAUGGGGACUGGCGUCCUCUUCCUAUCCCUACAGCCUUAAGGGACCCCGGGGAGACAGGUGGGGUCCAGGAAGGCAGCCACACCGCCGCCCACAUGCCGAGGAGUCUCACUCCUUCCCAGAGCUCCAGGGGAGAACUCUGCCCCCUUUGUUCCCAGUUCCCGGCCCUCCCUGCCUGCUUCUGGGAGACCCCAGGCUGAGCUGGGGGGCUCACGCCUCUCGUGCUGUGGAAAGUUGGGGCUCCAGUUUCCCCAUCUCCAACUGGACUGUCUACUCCUGCUUUUCCCUCUUGGGCUGCAGGCUGUGGGAGGAAGAGGAAGACUUGAGUGGUGUCUGGGCCCUUGGCCCUCUGGACCCCAGAGGCUUCUGGUCCCAGGUCAAAGCCUCUGUAUUAGAAUGCCCUGUCCUGCUCCACUCCCAGGGGGCAGAUUUUGAAUGUCGCAGUGGCUCCAUGGAAACACUGGGGCCAUUGUCAUUUGAUGGGGGGGGGGGGCAGUAAUUCCACAUGGCGUGGUCCAGUGGGAUGCCACGAGCUCUGGGCUGGGGACCUGCUCUCCGGGGUUCCAGCUUGAGGACCUGGUGACUCACAAUCCUGCGCUGGUCACAUUUUACUUUCCUCAGCUGUGAGGAGGGGGUGGUGCUAACUUCUGCCCUGCACCCCUGGGAGUCCAGGGCUCUGUGGGUGUGGGUAGGAGCCUCUGUGGGGCUCAGGGCAGUGGAAAUGGAGGAGCUGCAGGGACCCUGGGCCCCAGCGCAUGCCCUGGGCACGCGGCAACCGUGAGGAGGUGGGGGAAUCAGCAAACCGAGUUAGCUGAGCUGUUGCUAGAACUCUCCCCUGCAGGGCCCCAGGGGGGUGAGUGAGGUGGCCUGGACUCUGGCUGCAGGCCCUGUCCAGGUCAUCACAGGUGCCACCCCGCAUAUACUCUCUCUGUCUCUCCCUCCACCACCACCUGCUCUAGAGAUUCUAGGAGGAAUCUCAAGGAGCAGCGCUGGUCCGCAGCUGUGUGACCCAGGCAGCCCCUGCACAGCUGCCAGUGUGCCUACCGCCCUGCGCUCAGUUCUUGCUGUCUGCAAGGGGAAGUGCCCCCGGCUGGAGUUUGCCCGGUGGCUUGGGAAGUGCUGGCGGUUAGAGGGGCCAACGGCUGGCUGGCUUUGGAUGGAGAGCCGCAGCCCCCAGCUCCCCACUGACUCCUGACCUCUGCGAAUCACUUCCUCCUCUCUGUCAGAGGUGACAAGGACUCCCAUGGCUCCCGCGGGCAGGCACACAGUCGGAGGGCGCGUGGCGUCAGAUGUGCCUUGAACUUUUGGAGACGUGAAGGUGGUGGCCUUACGGCAGGGAAGGAACCGCCUGGGUGGCCGUGUGCAUUUGGCUCCUGGCAGGCUGGCCCUGCAGGUCUCGUGCUGAUCCUGCGCAGAGCCGGUGAGAGUACCGAGCACCCCAAGAGCCAAGAUCUGGAAUCUGUUCCUUCAACACGAAAGCAAGAUCAAGACAUGGCUUCCCAGUUCCAUGUUGCUGAACAGUCCCGCACCAGGGCGUCUGGCUAUGUCAGAAUCCUCCAGACCCCCCAGGCCAUCCUGGAGUGGUCUUUGUCCACUGUGUGGGGUGUGUGGCCGUCCCACCUGGGUGCCCAUGGGAUCAGGGGCACAGAAACUUGGCUCUGUAGGGGAGCCCAGGAUGUCAGACCACCCACCAGGAGGGUACGCUGAGGAAUAAAUUCCAAAAGCCAGAAACCCCCAGGUUCUGGAGUUCAAGGCUUUUCCCGCUGGGCGGCUGGUCGCCUCCCUUCCCCUCUGGGGCAGCCCUCCCUCCUCGCUCAGCUCAUUGCUACGUUCCAUCCGUUCCGUUCCAUCCGAGGGGCGGGAGGCGGCGAGGCAGGAGGGGGAGAUGGCAGGACCCAGACAGAUCCUCCGGACUCUCCCAGCCUCCGUUGCCAUGGCAACGCUGCUAUUUUUAUCCCCUUGUUCAUGAUGCUCAGAGCUCUGACUUUCUCCGUUCCAGAGAGGCCAGGCUGGCUUCUGCCCUCAUCCCACAGCACAGCGCCUUCUCCCAGCAGCCCGAGGAGGGACAAGACUGAUGCAAGGAAGGAGGACCCCCGGGGAACCCCCUCAGAGGUCUGUCUCUUCACUUUUCUUCCUGGCUUAGUCCGCCAGGUGCUUGUUUUCAAGAUCAAAACUCCCCCUGGUCUCCCUGGGAGGCUGCCCUGAGAGGAUGAAGGAAGCUGGGUGUCUCAGGAUGGACUUUUGCCCCACAGUGGUGACACCAAGUGGUUCCCCUUCUCGGGAAAGCCGGACUUGGCUCUGCAGACUGUCCUGUUGGUGCAAGGGGACAGAGAACCAGGUUUGGUUCAUCAGCGAUCAGAUACACAAGGGCGGGGAAUCAAAACCAAGGCUUUCCUUUCUGGUCUGUCCCUCUACCAAAGAACUAGGACAAAUGGCCUCAUGUCUUUGUCCCAGAGCAAAACAGCAGAUCCUCUGCAGGCCGGGAAGCAGGCAGCCCUGUUUCCCUCCAGAGACUUGAGGUCUUGACUCGGUAUUACCGAAAGCGAUGCUCUCAAAGGCGCAGUUUAAUGAAAGUUCUCAGAGCUGCCCUUGCUCUGUCUCUCCUCCCAAGUUCCCACCUCCGCCCAGGGGCAGGGGAGCCCUGAGUGAAUGGUGCUAACAUCCGCAUACUCUCCUCUGCGGGUCAGUGACCUCCGAGCCCAGCACCUGGGGUAGCUGAGUCUCAUAUCCUAAAACUGUGACCUUGAAGAUGACCCAGAUCUUAGCCCAGUCAAGUAGCAGUCCCUACCCUCUAACUCCUGCACUGAGGUCCUGCCUCAGCUGAGCUGGCUCCUGGAUGGCUCAUUUUCCUGGGGUGGCUGGAACCCACUUCCUAAGCCUCGUGUUGGUUUCGUUUUGGCUCAAGCUGCACGGUUUCCCGAAUCUAUGCACCUGGAGUAAGCACUUUUCUGGUUGCCACUGAAAAGCAUGCCGGCGAACGCUGCUCUGUUAAUUGCUGUAAUAAACAGAGUUUAUUACA